rnacentral:lncRNA from 1 species
UAACUUAGAUAAACAUAAGUAACUUACAUGUUUACAAGAGAUGUGAUUUCCCUUUCGGGAAACCCGAAAAAGUUUUUGCUGAACUUCGGGAAAAACGAUCGACACAUAAGUAUACAAACUUUAUUUAUUUUACAGGCUUAGAGGAAUAACUACUAGGAUAUUCAUAAAGGGAAAUAUUUUACAAAGUGGUUUGAAAAAGAAAGUUGGUUGAUUAGGCUUUCAGAAUGUUUUUCUUCCUUUUCUCGAUGAU